AGGCUAUAUACAGCAGGUUCCGGUACAGAGUCAAUAUGGUGGCUAUAUACAGCAUGUUCCGUUACAGAGUCUAUAUGGAGGCUAUAUGCCGCAAAUUCCGGUACAGAGUCAAUAUGGAGGCUGUAGACAGCAGGUUCCGGAAAAGAGUCAAUAUGGAGGCUAUAUACUGCAGGUUCCGGUACAGAGUCAAUAUGGAGGCUAUAUGCAGCAGAUUCCGGUACAGAGUCAAUAUGGAGGCUAUAUACAGCAGGUUCCGGUACAGAGUCAAUAUGGAGGCUAUAUACAGCAGGUUCCAGUACAGAGUCAAUAUGGAGGCUAUAUGCAGCAGAGUCCGGUACAGAGUAAAUAUGCAGGCUAUAUACAGCAGGUUCUGAUACAGAGUCAAUAUGCGGGGGCACCG
ensembl:lncRNA